rnacentral:rRNA from 1 species
AGUGAACGCUGGCGGUAGGCCUAACACAUGCAAGUCGAACGGCAGCACAGUAAGAGCUUGCUCUUACGGGUGGCGAGUGGCGGACGGGUGAGGAAUACAUCGGCAUCUACUUUUUCGUGGGGGAUAACGUAGGGAAACUUACGCUAAUACCGCAUACGACCUACGGGUGAAAGCAGGGGAUCUUCGGACCUUGCGCGAUUGAAUGAGCCGAUGUCGGAUUAGCUAGUUGGCGGGGUAAAGGCCCACCAAGGCGACGAUCCGUAGCUGGUCUGAGAGGAUGAUCAGCCACACUGGAACUGAGACACGGUCCAGACUCCUACGGGAGGCAGCAGUGGGGAAUAUUGGACAAUGGGCGCAAGCCUGAUCCAGCCAUACCGCGUGGGUGAAGAAGGCCUUCGGGUUGUAAAGCCCUUUUGUUGGGAAAGAAAAGCAGCAGGUUAAUACCCCGCUGUUCUGACGGUACCCAAAGAAUAAGCACCGGCUAACUUCGUGC